rnacentral:rRNA from 1 species
CCUACGGGUGGCUGCAGUGGGGAAUAUUGGACAAUGGGGGCAACCCUGAUCCAGCCAUGCCGCGUGUGUGAAGAAGGCCCUCGGGUUGUAAAGCACUUUCAGUGAGGAAGAACGCCUGGUGGUUAAUACCCAUCAGGAAAGACAUCACUCACAGAAGAAGCACCGGCUAACUCCGUGCCAGCAGCCGCGGUAAUACGGAGGGUGCGAGCGUUAAUCGGAAUUACUGGGCGUAAAGCGCGCGUAGGUGGCUUGAUAAGCCGGUUGUGAAAGCCCCGGGCUCAACCUGGGAACGGCAUCCGGAACUGUCAAGCUAGAGUGCAGGAGAGGAAGGUAGAAUUCCCGGUGUAGCGGUGAAAUGCGUAGAGAUCGGGAGGAAUACCAGUGGCGAAGGCGGCCUUCUGGACUGACACUGACACUGAGGUGCGAAAGCGUGGGUAGCAAACAGGAUUAGAUACCCCAGUAGGC